GAAACAUAGUAUCUACUUCCAGAUAUGGAUGGCCUUAAUGUGUGCGUCAAAGAAAGCCUUGUAUUUGUAUCCAGAUAUGGAUGGCGACCUGAUGCCUAGAGGUGAGGUCGCCCUAAGUUAUUAGGAGCUGAUCUCCAACCUGUAAAAAGCUAAACCAAGAACACAAUAGACACAAAAGACCAUCUGUGUUAAAGACUCCAAGGAUGUUUCUUGUACGUUCAGCUGUGUUAUCAGGCUGGUUCAAGACUGUUUCCAUCAACAGUCUGCUGCAAUAUCUUGGCUACACACAGUCUGUCUCCACACAAAAAGGAAUUACAUUACUAUUAAUUAUACUCAAAAACAGAUCAAUCAAACAGCUAUAAAAUUAUAGGCAAUAUAUCAGGACAAUAAAACAGGUGUCUUCUUCUCCUCUGUAUUGGACCUCUAGACAUAGGAACAGAUAGAGAGAGAGAGAGAGAGAGAGAGAGAGAGAGAGAGAGGUCUCCAUGACCUAUGACCUGGUCUGUGUGUCUCCUGAAAACAAAGUUAAAAUAGACAGGCAAAAAGAGAAACAAGGACACAGAACAUUCUUACAGUAAGCAGUUUUAACUUAUUCAUUAGUUAAAAUCAAUUCACAGUUAAAUACUGAGAAACAGGAUGAUGAAAAGGAUAAACGGUGGUCCAUGAUGAGAUGAAUUGGAAAGCAGAAAUCCGAAUCCUUCAGUAUACACUAGA
ensembl:sense_intronic